AACAAAUGUAUCCAAAUAGGAGAUAGAAACCGUAAUAUGCAUACGGUUGUUGUUUCGUGAUAUCAUUUUUCAGUUACGUCAUUUUAAUACUCUAAAACUAUCGAUAUUAUACAAAGUUGCUUAAAGUCAAUAUUUCUUUCUUUUAAACAAAGACAAAGUAAAGCUCACUGUAUUAAGACAUAAAAUGUUUCUCAUUACAAAAUCCAGUAAAUAGCAAGUAAAUAAGUAAAUAGCCAAUGCUGUUUUAAAGAUAUAUAUAUAUAUAUAUACUAUAUUUUUUACAUCACUGGCACUAUAUAAAUAAUUUUAAUUGUACAUGACUGCUGCAAUUGUUUGCAGGUAUGGACUCGUUUAAAGAGAAAAACAUUAAUAUACAUAUAAUUAUAUAUUUUUUAACGUUAACAGUGUCUUUUUCAUGCCAGCUGAAUAAAAGGCAAAGGUUAGUUGACAAGUUGCCUUUGUAUUGAAUGAAACGUAGUGAAAUCCUAAGAAUGGCACUUAAAUGCUGUGAACUUCCUUGUCAAACUCUUUAGGUUCGUAAAAAACAAUAGUUUUUCCCUGCCAAAGUUCCAAAAAGUUUAACGUCUAUUUUCACUACUAGAAAUCUGAUUACCAAAUAAAUACCUAAAUAAAUAAAACAAACCUAAAAUGUUCUACAAAGUAUUAGUCCAAAUUAAAUUAAACUAAACAAAAUUGAUUUAACCUCAUUUAAUCUUUACGAGUUUUAUGAAAAAAUAGUUAAUAACCAAAAUGCAGAAGCGAAUCCAAAAUAACCAAUCUAAAAACAAAGUAAUUUGUUUCAAAAUUUCUAAAGUUGUGUCUUUUUUUGUCUUUUUUCAAUUCAACAAAAUUCAAUUGGCCUGAUAUAUUAAAGGGACACUAUUGUCACCUGAACAACUUCAGCUUAAUGAGGUUGUUUAGGUGAGAACUAUAGCUCCCUGCAGCCUUUCUCAUGUAAACACUGUAUUUUCUGAGAAAAUACAGUGUUUGUAUUGAAAGCUAGGAACACCUCCAGUUGCAGUCACCCAGAGGGACUUUCAAGUUGAUUGAGGCAUAAAACUCCUCAAUCCACUCAGAUCUGCUGUCAGCAGAGCACAGGGCAGCAUUGUGUCUUCUCCCUCUGCAUGCAGACACUGAACUUUCCUCAUAGAGAUGCAUUGAUUCAAUUCAUCUCUAUGAGGAGAUGCUGAUUGGACAGGGCUGUGUUUGAAUCAUGCUGGCUCUGCCCCUAAUCUGCCUCUUUGUUAGUCUCAGCCAUUCCUAUGGGGAAGCACUGUGAUUGGAUCAGGCCACCACUUCUAAUGAUGUCAGCAAACUGUUUGUUUGUUUUUUAGGCAAACAGCAUGCAGAGUUACAGCUUCUGGCUUGAAUACAGUAAGAGUUUUACUAUAUUUAUGGAGGCAUGAGGGGCCCAGGGGGGCUAGAUGGUGGUGUUAACACUAUAGGGUCAGGAAUACAUGUAGUUGCAGUGGUGACUAUAGUGUCCCUUUAAAGUUUAUUCUGUUGAAGGGAUUUUGUAGAGGCAGAAAAGCACUUAAUCAUUUCAUCACUGUUUACGUACUUUUGUUCACGUCACUUCACAACUGCCAUCUACUUCUUAUUAAUUUAUAUUACAUAUAAAAUAUGAGCUAAGGUAUCAGCCAUAUGGACUCAUGUCCAUGACUGCAGAUCAGUACCUCUGAGUCUGUUCACUAAACAGUAAACUUAUAUUAAACCAUCAGCCUAUUCAAUAAACAAACCUGCAUAAUCUAAACCAAAAUAGCAAAAUAAAAUAUUUUCAACUCAGUUGUGAUAGAAAUUUUCUACAACUCUUCUACUCCCAUCCAGAUUUUACAAGGAGAUUUUCUAUUUUAUUUUUUUUAGAAAAUACAUCCUUGAGUGAUAAACUGUUACAUACCAUUCAUUGGAACCCAGAUAACUGUCCACAGUAUAUUUUAUUACCAUUACAACUUUUCUACGUAGUACAGACCCAAAUCAUACAAGAAAGCAUCUAAUAAAGGCAUUUUGCCAUAUUUAUUUUAAUGUUAACCAUAUUACAUUUGAAGAGUGUCACUGAGCUAAUUUUCCAAUUGAACAAGUGGUUGCCAUUUAGAUAAUUGAGGUUCUUGACAAAAAAUAAGACAGAGAGCAGCUGGUCUUUAAGCAUAUUCGCUAGAAAUGUGCUAGUAUAAUUUCCAGACCAUUGAUGAGAGGGCCAUUGUAACAAAAUGGCAACCUUUAAAAACAACAGCAACUUGAAUUUCUUUAACUUUAUUAAAAUUUGUUUUGUUUAUUUUUUUCAUUAUUAUACAAAAACAAACAUUCUCUAUAGAUAUAACAACAUGUCUACAAGUUGAGCUCAUGAAUAAGGAAGUCAGUUGAAUCCAUAAUGAGGAAGCUCUGAGAUAUUUGUCAGGUCCUGAACUGGUUGAGGGCCUCACGUUGGUUGAAUGCGAAGUCAAGCUGAAGUGCUCUGGGAAUGCACCCUUUCAUUUAGGAGUAGUUUGCCAAAAUGUAUGUUGUAGUUUCUUGUAGAUGAACAAUGAUCUGCUGUGGUGCCAUCAAUUUAGCUGCCAAACAGGCAAAUACUUAAUAUUAAAUAUUUCAUUCACAAUAUUAACAAAUAGUGAUUGUUAUGAAGUGAUCUACAACUGAGGUAUAUCAUUGGUUCUCAAACCGUGAGACUACACUUUCCCUGUACACUCAAUUUUAUAGGGACCUAGAUCACGUCAUCUUAAAGUUGUCUUGGUGCAAAGUCCCUCUUGUUUUACCUUACAGAACGCCAAUAUUUUUAUUGCAGGGUUUAAAUACCUCUAGUGGCUGUAGUAAACCUUCCUCCAAACAAAACACAUGAAUAUACAUUAUUUUGAAGGAAAAAAAAUCAUUAAGUUUCAUUAAAUGAAAUAAACUCUUAAAAAUAAGAAGUGAAUAUUUGAUGACAGUUUCCCUUUAAGUAAUAUAAAUCUUUUUAAGCAGUUUGUCCUUUAACGAGUAAUCAGCAUUCAUCCCUUACAGUGAACAAACAUUGAAAGAAGAAUGUAUUUAUCCUUAGCAAGAGUCAAAUUAUAGACAAUCAGGAAAAUGUUUACAGGGAAUAUACUUGCAGUUGUAGAAAACUCUAUGAAAUCUGAGGCAUUGAAUUUCAAUGCAAUUAAAUCAACUAUAUUGGUGCAAAUAAUUGAAUGUUGGCUUCAAAUCAAAGCUUCAUCCCAAGGCUGAACAAAUAGACAGACAGUUGUUACAUAUUAGGCAACCCAAAUCACUUAUUCUUGAGUCUUGUAAUACAGGUUUUCUGUCUUGGGGAUAAACAUUGUUUGAAUAGCGUUUAAAACAAUGAAUACAGACAGUCAUGUUAAAACUGACAGACAGAAGGAACAUGAAGGAAAUGUCUAUAAUUUAACUUUACAUUAUCUUUUGGGAGGACAUGCUAUGUUUCUUGCUGGACCGAAAGAUGGACCGUACACAUAGAUAUAUAUUUGUACACAUAAAUAGUUACAUGCAGGUGAUGUGUAAAGUGAAAUAAGAGAGUAUACACAUAUAUUUAUAUCUAUCCAUAUUAUAUAUAUUUAUAGAAAAGACAUAUUGAAUAAAUGCUACUAGAAAACAAAGUUACACAUGAAAUUUAUUAAAGUAACAAGUAACAAAGCACACAUUCUCUGUGAAUAUUUCUGUCAUAGCAAUUCCUUACAUUUAUGGCUAGCCGAAUCUAUUUGGAGAAUUAGUGUUUUCUUGCAUGUUAGCAGUCCCGAGACUCACGUGCCUCUUUCUGUCUAACCAAAAACAGUUAUUGAACUGGGAGAGUAGUGAUUCUCAGUUAAUACUUUUAGAACCUUAGAGUAAAUGCAUUGUGGAAUAAAUAAAUAUUUACGGUAUUUUGCUUUGCUAUGAUGACUGAAGUUUAUUUCACAGUUUUUUACAUUUUAUAUAUAGGUGAUAUUAAAUAACCAACCACCUUUUAGGGAGGUAGGAAAUUGAGUUCCUUUAGGAACCCUUCAAACAAAGGGUAUAACCCUGACUUGACUAAAAAUAAAUGUAUCUCUAUAAAAAUGAAGAAAAACACUUAGUUUUAUAUAAGUGCUCCAUUAGGUAUACUGUAGAUGAAAAACAUACAAAUAUAUAUUUUUUAUAAGUGUGUCUGUCACUAGGAACAAAGAUAUAUUCUCCCAAGGGAAUGUGUUUAGUUUACAGAGAAUAAAAUGACUAUGGAAUGCAUUACCAAGAGUUAGGCGAGUCUGAGAAUUAAUGUCUAAGAUAUAAACCCAUUUUAGCUUGUGGCCAAUUUGGCCGAACAAGCCACCACCAGCUGUGUUGAUUUUAAAGGUAGUAGCAAACCCUUUAAGGGCUCCCUAACCAAAAAAAAAACCUGGUUUUGGUUGAAAAAACUUUUUGUUGUGGUCCAUCACCCCCAAAUGCCAAAAAAGAAAAAAGCUUAAACUUACCUUUUUCCAGAGGAGGCCAAAUUCUCCCCUCACCUUGAUCUUCAUUGUUGGGGGAGUCAGGGAAUGCUGAAUGAUGGGAGGACACAGGUGGCUUUCAUCAGAUGCCAAUUUUGCACAGAUUUGAUAUGUUUGCCAACCCCGGAACAUUAGUUCCGAGCUGACUCAUAUCACUGAAGUGGUAAUGGCAUUUGGAGUAACCCUUUAAAUGAUGCUGUGAUUGGUUGAACUUGUAGGAAAGAGGCAGCAUUCUCACCUCCUCCCAAAAUUCAAUGUAUAGUUGAGUUCCUUCUAAGGUCAUUCGAGACAUAUCUUUGGCUCACAGUGUUAGUGUCAGCAUUCUGGCACUUAGAAAGUUUGCAACGUUGCCUUUGAGAAUUGGUAAAAAAGUUAACCAAAUCUUGGUGAUAUCAAUAGCUCUUCUUUAUGUCAGUGCUAUGUCGUAUAUGAAAACUAAAUAGGAACUAAAAUUACUAUUUCAACAUCAGGCAUUUUUGUCAAUGUGGUGGUCCAUCAUGGAAUUGCAUCAAAUGUUUCAAACUGUUAGUGAGCAUUACAUAUAAAAACAAGGCUGCAGAGAGUUUGUACUGUCAGCAACCUAUCAGAAUCUGAGAAUCUGAUAACUCUCCACUUUCCAAUGUGCAAAAAAAUAUUCUUAGAAUUCUCUUACGAUGUGGUGUGCCCAGUGUGCGUAAUGAAGAGCAGUUAGAGUCUUUAGUUUUUAUUAAAAAUAAAGAGUUGUAUGGAAUUGUUGAAAUGAUCAGCAAAAGGUACACAGUUUUAAUUUAUGUGUAUACCGUUGUGGAUAACUGUGCUACUUUAUUGUUACAAGUAAGCUAGAAACCCAAACUUCAAGUUCUUAGCCACAUCGAUUUCUUAGAAAGGUUGAGUAGUCAAGUGAGCAGGACUUUGCUCAUCCAUGUUUUUUUUUUUUGCCAAUUAAGACUUAUGGGCAAUGUGAGUCUUAAGUACUCUUUUAAUCACUGUUGGCCACUGUGGAGUUUAGAUCUUCAGUUGAGAUCAUAUAUGCCUUUUUUAUAUUUACUUUUUUUUUUUUUUUUAAGAUGUGAUUGCCUUAAACUGCAAACCAAAUGCAAAAUAGCAGGAACAUAAUUCAGGUAUUAAAAUAAGCAAAACUACUACAAACCAUACACUCCUAACCAUAUACAACAGCCCCUUUCUCUAACAUUAAUCACAUGAAUUCAUAUUUGUUAAUAAAGUAAUAAUAAUUUGAUAUUAGAAUUCUGCAUGUAUAUAUUAAAAUGUGUGUGUGUGUGUGUGUGUGGGUGUGUGUGUGUGUGUGUGUAAAUAUAUAUAUAAAAUCCACAAUGAUACAAAGGGACAGGCAUAAUGAAAAAUACCCAGCAGAUCAGUGUGAAAUCUGACUGACAUAGUAGGAGGAGCAGAUUAAAGAACACUCAAUGGGCUUCUUUCAAGUUACUGCUUUGUAAUUUUUUUGUAUUUGCUAUGCUUCUUUUGGAAGUGAGGACACAGGGUAUUUAGCAUUAUUAGACUAUCCUAUACUUCAAGUUGUGACUUUAAGAUUGAAUUUAAUGUUUAGAUCUCUGUGUUUUUUUAGCAGCUUUCCCAAAUCCAUACGAAAGUUCUGUCUAUAAGAUCAUGCAAACUUCAGGAGUUAUUUUACUAAAUCAGUGUUCCGCAAGAAAUGCAUUUCAUUGCACACUGUUAUGUUACCAUAUCUCGCAAAAGAAAGGGUUUAUUUUUCUAAAGUAUCGUAUGCAACAAUAAAAUUGAGAGGGAAAAUCAGCUCAUCAGAACACCCCUCCCAGUUAUCACUUAUAAACGCAAGUUAAAUCUUAGUGUUGUUACUCUUUAUAUUAUGUAAUGUUGAGUAUGUAUGUAUAUAACUGACCUCCUGCAUGUAUCACAAAUUCAAAAUGGUCACUUUUGUAAAGGCUAAACCUUUUUCAAGAAUGAAUUCAAAUAUUAUAAAGUUUAAAAAAGUAUUAGAUAACUAUAAGAAAGUUUUAACUAAAGAAAUGUACUUCCCAUUCCUUGUGUACAGCUCCAGCUGAAUCCUAGUCUUCAUAUUAAAAUGAAAAUGUUGCAUUUCACUUGUUACAGUUUUGUAAAACCAUUGUAGUUUUUUGCAGAUUUGUAAAAACAGAUUCAGAACCCAUCCAUUGAAAAUCUCGCUUUGUUAUAGAUUCUAUCUGAUAACUGUAGAGAUAUAGAUCACCUUUGGAUGCACCUUACGCAAUGAUGUAAACCUUACUUCUUCUACGUGCAAGGUGCUAUGUAUCACGCAUUUCUUUCAUUUUUUUUUAUUUCUUUUUUUAAUACUAUCACAUCAUACAAAUAGAAAUGUGUAUACCAGUUCUAUCAUGGAUAACAAAUAUCUAGCACCUUAUCUGUUACAGAUUACCAGUUCCGUUAUCAAUGGACGAAGUGUUAGGGAUACUUAAAUGACCCAUCUUUGGUUUUAUAUAGCUUGGUGGUAUGCGAUAGCUUCCCAUAAAAUGGGGUGUAAUUGUAGUUACCAAAAUUAUUUGGGAAAAUCCUUUAAAUAUAAUAGCCUUUAAAUAAAUACUAUAGACUCCCAUUUAUGUUGAAGAGCUACUUUUUUAUUAUUUAAUUCAGUGGGGUCAUAAAACGCUACACUCUAAACUCAAGUAAAAUGUUAUUUUAUAAAUUACGGUUUUGAACACCACAAGAAUUGUGAAUUAGAAAUAAAAGAAUAUGUACAAUAUCUCCCACCCUGUGGUUUGGGAGAUACAAAGCUAGUAUUUAGUUUUAUUUGAUAGAGAGAGAGAGAGAGAGAAUAUUCCCUAUAUGCAUAAUUUUUGUAAAGAAAGAUUUUAUUAUAUAAUAAAAAGAGGUAUUUAUUUUCAGCAAAAUAUCCCAAAAUUAGCACAAAAUAUUUUUUCAUUGUAGAAAUUUGCUGCACAAAGUAUAAAACAUUAAAAGGAGAUUGAAAAAAAAAAGGUUUGGCCUAAGCGUUUUUAAAACCAUGUUAAAUUGUCAACAAUUUCAAACGGAUGUUUAUAUUGCGUGUGUGCAUAGUAUCAAGUAGUUUUGUGAAGUUUGUCGAUGGAAGAACUUUCAAUGCACCAAAGUUAUUGACUGUCUCGUAAGAUAUAUUGAUGAUUAUCAUGCUCACUAACGGUUUCUUGGCCAGAUGGCAUCACCACUAUUGUGUCUUAUAGACAUUGCUUCGUAUCCAUAUUACAACCACAAGACAGUGGCGAAAAAAUAAACUGAUAAUAAAAUGAUAAUCUGGAUUCUAUACUAUUUAAGGUUUAUCCUUUGUAAAAUCCUGGUUUUCGAAUGAUUACAAUAUCCACAUGCAUUGUAAGUUCUUCUAACUAUAAACUAUAGCUAAAAGCUAGAGACAGUUUGUAGGAUGUUCUUGUAUAUUGCACAAUAUUAUCUGCUUCAAGGCUAUUUUAAGUGUCUAUUUUUGCACAAGACAAUCACACGCUAAGCGCAAUUAUUGUUGUAGUAUGUUUUGAAAGGUUUAUUUGUAUGCAAACAGGGAGAGACAAAAAGUGCAGGGCCUGAAGACAUGACAUUACUGUUGUAAAUGUUUACUUUAAUGUAAGGUUCACCACGUUAUAUCGUCUAUGUAACGAUCUGCACAUUUGUGAUAUUGCACAUGUAAUCCAAAUUACAGUCCCUAUAGGACAGUGGGAAGAAACCUAUAUCUCUUAAAAUGUAUAUGAGCUAGAAUUUUUAUGAUACUUGGCACGUGACUGGUGAAUGCCCAUAUAAAUUAUAGUUCAUCAUUAAUAACUAUGAUGAGGGUUGCUUACCUCAGAUUCUGUUCAUAAAUCUGGCAUGACUUCUUUUGUUUUGGGUUUUAUACAGUAAAUGUAUUCAUUGCCACCAGAUUUUAUAUAAGCUUUGUUCUGAAACAAAUAUCCAAAAGGUUUUUGGAUUAAUAAUCUGUUAAUUUGUCAAAAAAAUAAUAAAAGUACAAAAAAAAAGAACAAAAAGAAGCAGGAUGCAAGAUUGCAAAUUUCUAAAAGUUGUAAUGUAUGCAAGGACUAGAGCCAUUUUUUAAAAAUAUGGGUAAUGUGAAAUCACUCUGUAUAAUGCAUGUUAACAAACUGAAGCCUUUCCUAUUGUAUGUAUGUGCAUUUCUCCUGUGCUUGUUUCAUCAUUGUCACUGCUUUGACACAGUUAAGUGAACAGAGAAUCGUCUGAUUUCCAAGGUCUAAAGUAAAUAAGCUUUAAUUUCCAGAGUGCUAUAAGUAAAAGAUUGUGUGAGAUUGUAGGGUAUCACUGUAGAGAGCAGAAAAAUUGCAUUUUAAAAUAAAUUGGUGUUUUAAAAUACAGAGGAGAAUCGGCAACCUUUAUACAUUUUAGGGUUGCUUUAUUUAAUAUCUGGGUCCUAGAUUAGAAUGAAACUUAAAGAGACACUCUGGAUCCAUAAAGCAGUUUAGCUUGCUAUAAUGCUGGAUGUGUGAAGAGUGUGUCCUCUGUUUUCAUUUUACAUUGGAAAUUGGCAUUUUUAAAAAUGAAUUACACCCAUGGCUGUCAAUCAGACAACAGGUUGUUACUUCCUGGUUUGUUUAGCUCAGUGGAGCUAAACUCAAAAGGCAGCAACUGCCCAGAGCACCUGUCCUUGCAAAGACUUCUCAUUGAGCUGCAUUGGGAAGUCUGUGAUUGGACAGCCACAGAAAGUCUGUGCGGGGUUACAAGGGGAGGGCUUGCUAAGGCUACAGACAAGAGAACUUCAACAUUUGCAAGCUGUUUUUGUUAUGCCCCAGUGGUCAAAUGCAUAAUCAAAUGCAUGCAUGUUUUCGUUAUGGGUAUAUCUACUAAACAGUGAUUUUCUUUGUAUUUUGGCAGUGGAGUGUCCCUUUGAAUGGUUAUAUGACCUCAGUUACAAUGACCCUAGGAAGAGACAGGGGAUUUAAAUCUUGUUUUGGCCAAGCAUAAUGUAUUGUUUGCCUCUCUGUCAUUAAUGGUAUUCAUAGUAAUAUGUGAAGCAGAAUGGCUACCUCCCAAACUAUAGCAUCAAUAGGAUGGUGACUGAUUUAAACAAAAGUAAACAGGAAAGCAACACAUUAACAUUGUUUAUUUUUUGGGGAUUGUUUCAAAUUAGCAUUGAUUUAUCUCGAUAUAACUGCAACACAUUUAGUCAGAAGAUGAGAUGACAAUUUUGCUGUACUUUACCUUGUGUGCAUUUUCUGAUUUGUUUGUACGCACGUAAAAAAUAAAAAAGAAUAAAACCCUUUUACAAUAGCAACAGAAUGGUUUUAAAAUAAAAGGCAGAAAAACAAAUGGAGCUAAAAAACGUUUGUAGUUUUUCUUUUCUGCUCAAACCGUACAGAGCACAUGCAAACUCAUAGACUAUAUUUGCAAACAGUGUUAAGUUAUAUUGCUAAGAUUGUCAUUUUUGUAGCAUAAUAAAUAU